rnacentral:lncRNA from 1 species
GUUGAUCGUGGCCACUGGUGGGCGGCUGACCCUCCUCCUGUGUGAAGCUGCGUCUCUGCCGAGCUGCUCCUGAGCUCCCGGGGAGAGCGCCUGUGCUCCCUCCAAGAGCAGUGUUAUUCUGGGGCCUCGACUGCUGAGCACCCGCCUCCAAGACGCCCGCGCCUCCUGUCUCAGGCUCUGCGAGAAGGAGGAGGAAAAUGAAGAGCAGGAGGAGCCCAGGACCCAGAGGCUGACAGACAGGCCAAGCAGAGUGCGGGCUGGAGUGUUUUAACCAGAGCCGCAGCCAGCCAGCCAGCCGGGCGGGAGGUGCCCGUACCCCGGAGGACCAGAACCCAGGUGAACAAAGGAGGGAAGGCCGCUCCAGGUGGAGGCCCGCAGACUCCUGGGCCAACGUUCUUGUGGGCUGUCCCCUUGAAUCAAACCUCUCCUGCCCACGCCCCUCCAUUUGGCCUCGCCCAGGAAGGCAGAGUUGAUGGAGAAGCCACUCUGCUGGGCCCCUCGUCACUCUCCAUCCUGCCGGGACUCACGCACGUGGAGCAUUGAUGAGAGUCCUGAGAAGGAGGAAGAGAGAACCCGGUGGUGCAGGCCAGCGAUGGGAGGAGCAAGAGAGCUUUGUUCCUAGGUCUCCAGGGCCAGAACAUGGAGUCAACCAAGCCACGUUGGAUGUAACUGUUGGGAUUCAUAAAACAUCAAGGUUGGGACCU